rnacentral:rRNA from 1 species
UACGGGGGGGGUAAGCGUUGUUCGGAAUUACUGGGCGUAAAGGGCUCGUAGGCGGCCAACUAAGUCGGACGUGAAAUCCCUCAGCUUAACUGGGGAACUGCGUCCGAUACUGGAUGGCUUGAAUCCGGGAGAGGGAUGUGGAAUUCCAGGUGUAGCGGUGAAAUGCGUAGAUAUCUGGAGGAACACCGGUGGCGAAGGCGACAUCCUGGACCGGUAUUGACGCUGAGGCGCGAAAGCCAGGGGAGCAAACGGG